UCUAAUUUUAAUCCCUUCAUCUUUGCCAUGCAGCUAAUUUAGUGCCUUAAAAUUUAGGCUGCAUUUGGAUGCAAGUGAAUCAAAUUGUAGAAACUGAGUUUGGACUACAUUUGGAAAAAAAAAAGAGAGGCUCAAAUGGUCGUUCCACCCAAUAUUCAUAGCGGCCACAUGCAUUUCAAAAGGUGUGAUGUUUGAAAAUAUAGAAAGUGCAUUAUGCAUAGCAGCAUAGGGUAGAAUGGAUUAUAUCCAUCAAACCAUCCCAAAAUGGCAUGUGAGCUAGUUUCUUCUUAUUGAAGAAUAAGCACAAAUGGCCAUUCCGCUCCAUGGGAAUUCAGUAACAUCUAAAUGCAUUCCAGACCCCGAGGCAAUGGAAACAAUUAAUAAUGCUUCCUAUUAUUUGCAAGGAGGAAGUGGUCCUCCAAUUGUAGUUACACUUUUUUGAACUCCUACUUGAAAGUAAUGUGUGAGCGUGAUUUGGAGGUCAAAUCCUCAAUGUGAAAACUACGAAAAUCUCAAUUUGGUUACUUACACUUGAUUAGACUAAUUACUGCGAUCCACUUGAUAGUGCAUCCAAAAGCACCCUUACUGACCAACAACACGUUUACCAGCGGGUAGACUAGUGAGCUCCUAAGUGUUAUUUUGAUAAAGAGCAGUAUUUUUGUCUUCCACUACCUGCUUCCACUCCUUAUGUAACAUUACUUCCUAAUAUGACUUGGGAAUAGAAUGAGAGGACAAUGAUAGCAUGAAUUUGCAAAAAGUGGGAGAUAAGCAUUGAAAUGAGACAUUUGGAGAUAGGAUGAUCGAUAAAUGUACGCUUACCUUUUCUCAAGGCAAUAGGAACAUCAGAACUAUCUGGAAUAGUCAUUGGAUCACUAAUGAUGGGGACAUCAUGCGCACGCGCACGCCCCCCACUCUACGCACAUACUCAAGGAGGAGGAAUGCCCCAUUAUCGAUCUGGAUCGACGACGACCUUUAUGGAGGACCUCUUAGUUAGGGGGCUGUGUUAUGGAGCAUUGGAGUGCACCCGAUCAUCAUAGAGAUUCCACCAUUGGAUCUCAUGAUCGUGGCCCACUACCCUAGAUGAUCUACGAUUUUGAGUCUUGGUUAUUAUCGUUAUUAGAAACUUCAUGAACAAUUUUGAUUGCGUUGAUUAGUUGUUAUUUUUGUUACUUCGCCUCUAUGUAAUAGUGUGCGCACAUGGCGCGACUUUUGGGGUUUAGGGUUUUCUUAUAAAUAGGCGACCCCUUAUAGGUUUUUUUAAAAUGAAGUUUAUGAAUAAAAUUCUGCGUUUUUCUUCUCUAAUUCUCUGAGUUGAAGAAUCUAAUUGGGUGCGAAACCCUCCCUUCUUUGAAGGGCUAAUUACCUUGGUGCGAAGCUACAACCAUCCCAAAUCGUCCUCACCUCCUACACUCCACGUCCAUCAUCUCCCACAGCCAUCCCUUCUUCAAAUCCACCCAUUUUUGUACCCAAGUUCUCCUCUACAGCAGAUUUUCAGAUUUUGGCCCUCCAGGGGGGCUGAAACUUCGGCGGAGCACCAUGCACAAACCGGACAGCGGAUCAAUGUAAGAUUUGGUGUGUGAGUGGGCCACCCCUGGCCGACCACACCCUAGGUGGCCGUUUCCAGUUUCGUGGGCCCCACACACGUAUGAACAAGAACUCAUGCACGUGCGUUUGGGCCGGACUGUUGUCCACACGUGUGGACUAUCUUAGGUUCUUCUCUCUCCUCUAUUCUCUCCUCUCUCGCCUUACAUCCCUAACCCUAACCCUAGAUAAUCCUAAAUUCCAACUUCUUUCCUACUUUUGCAAACCCUAGACUUUCUUUAAAUUGAAACAUGGUGAAUCUUUUGAAUUGGGGAACAAUCCUUUGCAAGAAUGGAUGAAUCUACACUCCUUUGGUUAUUGUUUGGUUUAUAAUUUUUAUUUGAUCCGGCCCUAACGUGUGUAGGCUUGGACCCCUAUAGAUUCCCGUUGUUGAAUGUUUGAUCGUAUGUGGGACGUGGAAUUUUGUGAUUGUUUAAAAUUGGUAUGAUCUAAAGCUUGAAAUCUUGCAUUUCAUAUUUAAUUUCAUGUCCUGCAUCAACUAGGCUCUCGGAAGAAAAUAUGGUUGAUGGCACAUCAUAAUAGAUCACACUAUUUGUCUAUUUUUGUCCUGAGUAAACUUUUAAUGAGAAGCAAUGGGAAUAGAUGAGUUCACAAAGGUAAGAGAUUGGAUUAUGUCUUCUUCAACCAUUAUUGGUACAAGCACAACUUCCACAUUAAGAAAUUUAUUGUCUUGUGAGAAGAACGGAGUAGACUAAAAAAAAUGUAACAUUUGCAGACACAGUGUUCAAAGUAAAGAACUGUAACAACGAUAACCUCUGUGCCCGUGAAUACCCAAGGAAAAUACAUUUAAUGGCUCUAAGACUGAAUUUAUCGUGACCCGACCCCAAUUAAUGAACAAAACAUAUACAUUAAAAAACUUUGGGAGACAGAGAAAGCAACGAGGUAUCUGGAAGUAGAACUUCAUGAGGUGAUUUACUCAUUAAAACAAUCGAAGGCAUUUGAUUUAUCAAAAAACGCCAUGAAUAUUACCAGACUCCAAUAAUUCUAACGCCAUGAAGUUUGUGGGUGCUUGAUACCAUGUAAUUCUCUCUCUCUCUCUCUCUCUCUCUCUAUAUAUAUAUAUAUAUAUAUAUAUAUAAACACGCUUUGAUACCAUGUAAUUCUGGAAGGAUCCCUCAUCAUCCAACAUCUAGUUGUUUUUGGAUUGUUGUUAUAUCGCUUUCUUAACCACAUUUGUUGACCACUGACCAAUGUUAACAUCUUCCAACUUGGGAGAAAGAUGGAUUAGAUAGAAAAGAUAGAAAACAAAAUUGCUCCGAUAACAUGUAGAUUUGUAAAUUAGAAGUAGAAGAAAGAAGAAGAAAUAAGAUAAGAGAGAAGAGAGAGUUGUGAAAAGAAAAGAAAAGAGGAUUAUAUGUCUAGACAUCCCCUCUCCUCUUAUUUGUAUUAAUAAUAAGUAAGUGAAAAAGAUAAAAACACCCUUAAGUAACAAAAGCAAAAAUUCUCCUCAAGUCCUAACCAGUGUUCGAAAUAUCAGUAUUGCGUUAUGUAUCGCACCCUUGGAUAUGAACAUGUAUCAAUUAUCGCAUGGGAUAUAUCGGUUGUAUCGCGUAAUGUAUCGUUGUUGUUGGAAACAUUGGGAAAUUGGUCAAAUUUUUCAAUGAAACUUCAGUGAUUGUUAAAAAAGACAUCAAUACACACUUGUAAAUCAAAACACUACAAAAAAACAA